rnacentral:rRNA from 1 species
CACUCCUACGGGAGGCAGCAGUGGGGAAUAUUGGACAAUGGGCGCAAGCCUGAUCCAGCCAUGCCGCGUGAGUGAUGAAGGCCCUAGGGUUGUAAAGCUCUUUCACCGGUGAAGAUAAUGACGGUAACCGGAGAAGAAGCCCCGGCUAACUUCGUGCCAGCAGCCGCGGUAAUACGAAGGGGGCUAGCGUUGUUCGGAUUUACUGGGCGUAAAGCGCACGUAGGCGGACUAUUAAGUCAGGGGUGAAAUCCCGGGGCUCAACCCCGGAACUGCCUUUGAUACUGGUAGUCUUGAGUUCGAGAGAGGUGAGUGGAAUUCCGAGUGUAGAGGUGAAAUUCGUAGAUAUUCGGAGGAACACCAGUGGCGAAGGCGGCUCACUGGCUCGAUACUGACGCUGAGGUGCGAAAGCGUGGGGAGCAAACAGGAUUAGAAACCCUUGUAGUCCCAU